rnacentral:rRNA from 1 species
GACGAACGCUGGCGGCGUGCUUAACACAUGCAAGUCGAACGGAAGGGCCCUGCUUGCAGGGUACUCGAGUGGCGAACGGGUGAGUAACACGUGGGUGAUCUGCCCUGCACUUCGGGUUAAGCCUGGGAAACUGGGUCUAAUACCGGAUAGGAGCCAUUUUUAGUGUGAUGGUUGGAAAGUUUUUUCGGUGUAGGAUGAGCUCGCGGCCUAUCAGCUUGUUGGUGGGGUAAUGGCCUACCAAGGCGGCGACGGGUAGCCGGCCUGAGAGGGUGGACGGCCACAUUGGGACUGAGAUACGGCCCAGACUCCUACGGGAGGCAGCAGUGGGGAAUAUUGCACAAUGGGCGCAAGCCUGAUGCAGCGACGCCGCGUGGGGGAUGACGGCCUUCGGGUUGUAAACUCCUUUCGCUAGGGACGAAGCUUUUUGUGACGGUACCUAGAUAAGAAGCACCGGCUAACUACGUG